AGAUUUGGGAGGCUUGAGGCCUAGUCCUGACUUGUCUCAUGCUUGUCCUGGGGCAAGUUGCCUGUUCCUUGCCCUUUGCUAUCUGCAGGUAGUGAGAGGACCAUUGGAAGCAGAAGUUUUAGAAGACUGGUUUGAGGUGCUGUGAGUCCUUGCAGUGAUUUGCAGACAGUCAGUUGAAUCUAUACAUUAGCAGGAACUGAUGCUGCCUGGAAAAAGAGAGUGACUCACAGCACAAAGAGGCAAGGAAUGAGGCAACAGCUAGCCAUGAGUAUGGAUGGAGCUUUACUGCCCAAGAAUAAGAGUAUGAAAAUCACUAUCCUCUUGAUGCCAUAGAAAGGUGGUUUUGAAGUGCACAAAACCUGCUCUUUCUGCUGGGCUAGGCCGCACCCUCUUGUGGCUAAUAGGCUUCUUUUUCACUCCCAAGUUCCCUGAAGUAGUCCUCUAUAUUGCUGGAACAGAAAUCAAUCCUAUCUGUGAGUUUACGCUUAAGAACUACUGUGGGCAGAGGAGAGCUCUACCAUCCUUCCUCAGCACUUCUGACAAGUUUCGGAGUACCACAAGAAAUGUCCCUUGGGAAUGAGAAGAACUGAGAUGUAGCUGUGUGUGUAUGUCUGUAUCUUCUGGGCUGACUGCUCUCAUGCUGAACGCAGACAAGAAGGUGACUUGACGUGGGGCUCUGGGCACUUUGGCUGACGUUAGGCUUCUUAUUUCAGAUAGGAAAUAUAUCUUUGGAGGAUCUACUGUUCCUCGUGGUUGGUAUUUCUGGAGGCACUGGAAGAAACUGAACAAAAAAUAAACUCUUCCAGAUGUUUU
ensembl:lncRNA